UGGGGAAUUUUGCGCAAUGGGGGAAACCCUGACGCAGCAACGCCGCGUGGAGGAUGAAAUAUCUUGGUAUGUAAACUCCUUUCGAUGGGGAAGAUUAUGGCGGUACCCAUAGAAGAAGCCCCGGCUAACUUCGUGCCAGCAGCCGCGGUAAUACGAGGGGGGCAAGCGUUGUUCGGAUUUAUUGGGCGUAAAGGGUGCGUAGGCGGUUUGAUAAGUCUGGUGUGAAAUCUUUGGGCUCAACCCAAAGUCUGCACUAGAAACUGUCGGGCUUGAGUAUGGGAGAGGUGAGUGGAAUUUCCGGUGUAGCGGUGAAAUGCGUAGAUAUCGGAAGGAACACCUGUGGCGAAAGCGGCUCACUGGACCACAACUGACGCUGAGGCACGAAAGCUAGGGGAGCAAACAGGAUUAGAUACCCUGGUAGUCCACGCCCUAAACGAUGCAUACUUGGUGUGAGCGAUUCAUUUCGUUCGUGCCGGAGCUAACGCGUUAAGUAUGCCGCCUGGGGAGUACGGUCGCAAGGC
rnacentral:rRNA from 1 species